GACGAACGCUGGCGGCGUGCCUAAUACAUGCAAGUCGAGCGAAGCGGCGGAUGGGUGAGUAACGCGUGGGUAAUCGGCUCAUCAGUCUGGGAUACCAUUAGGAAACAGAAGCUAAUACCGGAUACUAAAGGAUGGACCGGAGUUGCGUUAGCUAGUGUGUAAGGUAACGGCGUACCAGGGCGAUGAGGCAUAGCCGGGUUCAUCGACUGAUCGGCUACUUUGGGACUGAUACACGGCCCACACUCCUACGGGAGGCAGCAGUAGGGAAUCUUCCACAAUGGACGAAAGUCUGAUGGAGCUACGCCGCGUGAGUGAAGAAGGUUUUCGGAUCUUAAAGCUCUGUUGUUUGUGAAGCGGUAAUCAACCAGAAAGUCACGGCUAACUACGUGCCAGCAGCCGCGGUAAUUC
rnacentral:rRNA from 1 species